AUACGGAGGAUCCGAGCGUUAUCCGGAUUUAUUGGGUUUAAAGGGUGCGCAGGCGGCCAUUUAAGUCAGCGGUUAAAUCGUGGGGCUCAACCCCAUUCUGCCGUUGAUACUGGGUGGCUUGAUUGCGGUCGAGGUUGGCGGAAUUCGUUGUGUAGCGGUGAAAUGCAUAGAUAUGACGAAGAACACCGAUUGCGUAGGCAGCUGACCAGACCGCAAAUGACGCUCAUGCACGAAAGUGCGGGGAUCGAACAGGAUUAGAUACCCUGGUAGUCCGCACAGUAAACGAUGAGUGCUUGUUUUCGGCGAUAUAAUGUCGGAGGCAAAGCGAAAGCGAUAAGUAUUCCACCUGGGGAGUACGCCGGCAACGGUGAAACUCAAAGGAAUUGACGGGG
rnacentral:rRNA from 1 species